rfam:Ovis aries breed Texel chromosome 13, whole genome shotgun sequence.
UCCCUGGUGGCUUAGAGGGUUAAGUGUCUGCCUACAAUGCAGGGGACCUGGGUUCAAUCCCUGGGUAGGGAA